UACGUAGGGGGCUAGCGUUGUCCGGAAUCAUUGGGCGUAAAGAGCGUGUGGAGCGGCCCGGUAAGUCCGCUGUGAAAGUCGGGGGGCUCAACCCUCGAAUGCCGGUGGAUACUGUCGGGCUAGAGUGCGGAAGAGGCGAGUGGAAUUCCUGGUGUAGCGGUGAAAUGCGCAGAUAUCAGGAGGAACACCGAUGGCGAAGGCAGGUCUCUGGGCAUUAACUGACGCUGAGGAGCGAAAGCAUGGGGAGCGAACAGG
rnacentral:rRNA from 1 species